GACCCAUCAGCUUUCCUCACCUGGUUUAGCCGGCCUGUUGAAGCCGUUGCUUGAACCCCUGUUGCAUGCUGACAGCUUCUGGAAGCCACAGGAUUUCCUUUCUGCCCACUCUGAAAAAGGUGAUGGAGAAGACAGAAUUGCAGGGGACUGGCACCUUUCGUUUCAUUAGGAAUAGCCAUUAAAAUGUGUGAAAUGUGGAAUAUGCUUCACUGAAUGAGCACACAUAGUUCACAUCAACGAACACAAAAA